GUGACCAUAGUGCCCAUUUAACCCCAUUGAACCCCAUUGAACCCCAUUGAACCCCCUUUAACCCCAUUGCUGCCCCAUAAGUGACCCUAUCCCCCCCCUUGAACCCCAUAGGUGACCAUAGUCCCCAUUGAACCCCAUUGCUGCCCCAUAACUGACCCUAUUCCCCCUUUAACCCCAUUUAACCCCAUAACUGACCCUAAUCCCCCCCCUUUAACCCCAUUGAACCCCCUUUAACCCCAUAAGUGACCCUAUUCCCCCUAUAACCCCAUUGAACCCCAUAACUGACCCUAUUCCUCCUUUAACCCCAUUGCUGCCCCAUAAGUGACCCUAUCCCCCCCUUAUUGACCCCAUAGGUGACCAUAGUGCCCAUUGAACCUCCUUGAACCCCAUUGAACCCCAUUGCUGCCCCAUAAGUGACCCUAUNNNNNNNNNAACCCCAUUGAACCCCAUUGCUGCCCCAUAAGUGACCCUAAUCCCCCUUUAACCCCAUUGACCCCAUAGGUGACCAUAGUGCGGAGCAGCACGGUGACUCUGUCUCCCCCUGGUGGUGGGGGCGUGUGGCUGCAAUACCUGGGUUUCCUCCACCCCCUUGUGGGACCCCCCCCCAACCCGGCCCCCUCCCCAUAUAAGAACCGAUCCCUGACCCACCCCCCCCCCACAAUUCGAACCCCCCAAGUUUGGGCCCGAAUUCGACGCCUCAUCGACGUGGUGGCCAAAGUGGGGAGGGGACCCGACGACCCACACAUGGAAGAAGUGGGGCGCUGGGCCGCCCCCAAGGACCGUCAGACCCGUCCCUUAUUACGGGGGGGGUCUCGUGCUUUGCUGUCCCCCCCCCGGGGUCGUUACGCCCUACAAGUGGAGGGCAGGAGUGGGGCCGACCCCGAAGACGGAGCCGGGGGGAGCAGCGAACUCACCUUGGUGUGGGAUCGAACCGGGGUCCCGGGGGGCAGCGAAGAUCUCGUUCUUCAUUCCUGGAGUCCGCACGCACUUCCGCUUCCCG
rnacentral:lncRNA from 1 species